rnacentral:rRNA from 1 species
GACGAACGCUGGCGGCGUGCUUAACACAUGCAAGUCGAACGGAAAGUGCCCAGCUUGCUGGGUGACUCGAGUGGCGAACGGGUGAGCAACACGUGGGUGAUCUGCCCUGCACUUUGGGAUAAGCCUGGGAAACUGGGUCUAAUACCGAAUACACCCUGCUGGUCGCAUGGCCUGGCGGGGGAAAGCUUUUGCGGUGUGGGAUGGGCCCGCGGCCUAUCAGCUUGUUGGUGGGGUGAUGGCCUACCAAGGCGACGACGGGUAGCCGGCCUGAGAGGGUGUCCGGCCACACUGGGACUGAGAUACGGCCCAGACUCCUACGGGAGGCAGCAGUGGGGAAUAUUGCACAAUGGGCGCAAGCCUGAUGCAGCGACGCCGCGUGAGGGAUGACGGCCUUCGGGUUGUAAACCUCUUUCAAUAGGGACGAAGCGUGAGUGACGGUACCUAUAGAAGAAGCACCGGCCAACUACGUGCCAGCAGCCGCGGUAAUAC